GAUGAAGAACGUAGCGAAAUGCGAUAAGUAAUGCGAAUUGCAGAAUUUCCGUGAGUCAUCGAAUCUUUGAACGCACAUUGCGCCCACUGGUAUUCCGGUGGGCAUGCCUGUUCGAGCGUCAUUACAACCCUCGACUUCCCUAGGGAAGUCGGCGUUGGGGACCGGCAGCACACCGCCGGCCCUGAAAUGGAGUGGCGGCCCGUCCGCGGCGACCUCUGCGUAGUAAACCAACUCGCACCGGAACCCCGACGUGGCCACGCCGUAAAACACCCAACUUCUAAACGUUGACCUCGAAUCAGGUAGGACUACCCGCUGAACUUAAGCAUAUCAAUAAGCGGAGGA
rnacentral:misc_RNA from 1 species